rnacentral:rRNA from 1 species
UACGGGGGGGGGCAAGCGUUGUUCGGAAUUACUGGGCGUAAAGGGCUCGUAGGCGGCCAACUAAGUCAAACGUGAAAUCCCUCGGCUUAACCGGGGAACUGCGUCUGAUACUGGAUGGCUUGAGUUUGGGAGAGGGAUGCGGAAUUCCAGGUGUAGCGGUGAAAUGCGUAGAUAUCUGGAGGAACACCGGUGGCGAAGGCGGCAUCCUGGACCAACACUGACGCUGAGGAGCGAAAGCCAGGGGAGCAAAACGGG